AAAUUUCAAAUCACGCGCACCUAAAUUAUUCCCACAAAUUAUUUUCCAAAAAAAGAAAAAAAAAUGGAAAACAGAAAUUAGGAAAAACGCAAACACUUUCUACUCCACCGAAGAAAUAGAGAGGAGAGAGACUGAGAGCGUUUACAAAGUUAGGGUUUCGAAAUGUGAUUUGAUCUGCAAUUCACAAUUUGGUCCGAGGCUUAAUCGAAUUUCUUGCAAGGUCUAGCCAUUGGUUGCGAAAAUUCUCUCUCUCACGUCGCUUAAUCGAGUCACAGGGUUGAAUUGGAGCAACUUACGAGAACAAAUUCUCCUUAAACCAGCCGAGUAAUUCACGAUGAAAGCCAAUAAGGCCAACUUUUCUGGUCUACACAAUCAGGUUAGAGUUCAAGAAUAUGAAAGAAUGUGGAUGGAGAAUUUGAAAAUGAAUGUAAAAAGAACGAAUGCUAAAGGUGUUGGGCUCUUAGCCAAGAAAAUACUACAAGAAAAAACUUAUGGUUCGGGUUUUCCAAAUGGAAAUCACAAUAACCAGGUGGAAGAACGAAAUGAUGACUCGAGUAUGAUGGAGGCGGUAAUGAGGAUGAAAAUACUAGCAACAUGAUAAUUAAAAAUUUCACUUGUCAUACAAAAAGGUAAUACUUCUUCGAUUUGGAUUGUCUACAGUCUGAAGCCAAUUGUCAUUCAAAACUGCAGUUUCUAAAAUGAUCAUGUAUCCAAAAGUUAGAGUUUUCAAUUUGCUUAAAUUCACCAAGUAUACAAAUGAUCAUGUAUACUAACUAGAAUUUUUUUGUUCCGAUCUAUUUUUUUCCUUCAUAUUUGGAAAGUCAUAUAUAUAUGCUCGGUAGUGUUUCAGCUAGUGAAAGCGAUUCCAAAGGAUGCAUCUAGUCGCCGCAUGUUAGUGAGCAAAACGGGUAGUCUGGGGGGACAAGUAGGACAAUUAACCAGGAGCAUGGUGAGCUAAAUGGAGAAGAAAUGUAGAUCUAGCAAUGACAUGGUGGAGGCUCUUGUUUGUUUUUGAGUCAUUUUAUGAUUUCUAGUAAUGUACGUUGAAUUUGUUUAUGUGGAUUUUAAUUUUAUGCAUUUUGUCAUUAAAAACACUAAAUUAAUUAGUGAACGAUUAUUUUGUAAUGCAUGUGUCCUAUGGGCACUAAUAUUGUAAUAUUACUCUUUAAGUCAAUGAAAAUCUUUUAUUAUUGA